ACAAGCGGUGGAGCAUGUGGUUUAAUUCGAUGCAACGCGAAGAACCUUUACCGUGGUCUUGACAUCCACGGAAGUUUUCAGAGAUGAGAAUGUGCCUUCGGGAACCGUGAGACAGGUGCUGCAUGGCUGUCGUCAGCUCGUGUUGUGAAAUGUUGGGUUAAGUCCCGCAACGAGCGCAACCCUUAUCCUUUGUUGCCAGCGGUCCGGCCGGGAACUCAAAGGAGACUGCCAGUGAUAAACUGGAGGAAGGUGGGAUGACGUCAAGUCAUCAUGGCCCUUACGACCAGGGCUACACACGUGCUACAAUGGCGCAUACAAAGAGAAGCGACCUCGCGAGAGCAAGCGGACCUCAUAAAGUGCGUCGUAGUCCGGAUUGGAGUCUGCAACUCGACUCCAUGAAGUCGGAAUCGCUAGUAAUCGUGGAUCAGAAUGCCACGGUGAAUACGUUCCCGGGCCUU
rnacentral:rRNA from 1 species